AGAGUUUGAUCAUGGCUCAGGAUGAACGCUGGCGGCGUGCCUAACACAUGCAAGUCGUACGAGCUCGAUCUUCGGAACGGGUUAGUGGCGCACGGGUGAGUAACACGUAGGUGACCUACCCCAGAGUGGGGGAUAACUUCUCGAAAGAGAGGCUAAUACCGCAUACACUCGGUCAUUCAUUUGGCCGAGCAAAGCUCUGGCGCUUUGGGACGGGCCUGCGUCCGAUUAGCUAGUUGGUAGGGUAAUGGCUUACCAAGGCUUUGAUCGGUAGCUGGUCUGAGAGGACGAUCAGCCACACUGGCACUGACACACGGGCCAGACUCCUACGGGAGGCAGCAGUGAGGAAUAUUGGGCAAUGGGCGAAAGCCUGACCCAGCAACGCCGCGUGAGGGAUGAAGGCCUUCGGGUUGUAAACCUCUUUUCUGGGAGAAGAGACAAGGACGGUAUCCCAGGAAUAAGUCUCGGCUAACUACGUG
rnacentral:rRNA from 1 species